rnacentral:rRNA from 1 species
GGUGAGUAACACGUAGGUAACCUGCCCCUGUCAGGGGGACAACCCGCCGAAAGGCGGGCUAAACCCGCGUACAUGCCACCGGGGCAUCCCGGAGGCAGGAAAGGCUUCGGCCGGACAGGGAUGGGCAUGCGGCGCAUUAGGCAGUAGGCGGGGUAACGGCCCACCUAACCGACGAUGCGUAGGGGUUCUGAGAGGAAGGUCCCCCACACUGGUACUGAGACACGGACCAGACUCCUACGGGAGGCAGCAGUGAGGAAUAUUGGUCAAUGGUCGGGAGACUGAACCAGCCAAGCCGCGUGAGGGAUGAAGGUACAGAGUAUCGUAAACCUCUUUUGCCAGGGAACAAAGGCGGGGACGUGUCCCCGGAUGAGUGUACCUGAAGAAAAAGCAUCGGCUAACUCCGUGCCAGCAGCCGCGGUAAUACGGAGGAUGCGAGCGUUAUCCGGAUUUAUUGGGUUUAAAGGGUGCGCAGGCGGUCUGUUAAGUCAGCGGUCAAAGCCCGGGGCUCAACCCCGGCCCGCCGUUGAAACUGGCAGUCUCGAGUUGGAGAGAAGUAUGCGGAAUGCGCGGUGUAGCGGUGAAAUGCAUAGAUAUCGCGCAGAACUCCGAUUGCGAAGGCAGCAUGCCGGCUCCACACUGACGCUGAGGCACGAAAGCGUGGGUAUCGAACAGGAUUAGAUACCCUGGUAGUCCACGCAGUAAACGAUGAAAGCUG